rnacentral:rRNA from 1 species
CAGUCGCCGCGGGAAUACGGAGGGUGCAAGCGUUAAUCGGAAUUACUGGGCGUAAAGCGCACGCAGGCGGUCUGACAAGUCAGAUGUGAAAUCCCCGGGCUUAACCUGGGAACUGCAUUUGAAACUGUCAGGCUGGAGUCUUGUAGAGGGGGGUAGAAUUCCAGGUGUAGCGGUGAAAUGCGUAGAGAUCUGGAGGAAUACCGGUGGCGAAGGCGGCCCCCUGGACAAAGACUGACGCUCAGGUGCGAAAGCGUGGGGAGCAAACAGGAUUAGAUACCCCAGUAGUCCCUGUCUCUUAUAA